UAUCGGAACGUGCCCUGGAGUGGGGGAGUAACUAGUCGAAAGACUAGCUAAUACCGCAUACGAUCUACGGAUGAAAUGGGGGAUCGCAAGACCUCAUGCUCGUGGAGCGGCCGAUAUCUGAUUAGCUAGUUGGUGGGGUAAAGGCCUACCAAGGCAUCGAUCAGUAGCUGGUCUGAGAGGACGACCAGCCACACUGGGACUGAGACACGGCCCAG
rnacentral:rRNA from 1 species